CGAGGAAUAUUGGUCAAUGGGCGCAAGCCUGAACCAGCCAUCCCGCGUGCAGGAAGACGGCGCUAUGCGUUGUAAACUGCUUUUCCAGGGAGAGAAACUUGCGCACGUGUUGCGCAAUUGACGGUACCCUGGGAAUAAGCAUCGGCUAACUCCGUGCCAGCGGCCGCGGUAAUACGGAGGAUGCGAGCGUUAUCCGGAUUCAUUGGGUUUGAAGGGUGCGUAGGCGGACUAUUAAGUCAGUGGUGAAAUCCUGCAGCUUAACUGCAGAACUGCCAUUGAUACUGAUAGCCUUGAGUUUGGUUAAGGUAGGCGGAAUGUGUAAUGUAGCGGUGAAAUGCUUAGAUAUUACACAGAACACCAAUUGCGUAGGCAGCUUACUGAGCCGACACUGACGCUGAGGCACGAAAGCGUGGGGAUCGAACAG
rnacentral:rRNA from 1 species